rnacentral:misc_RNA from 1 species
AGAAGAAAGAACCAAGAACUUGACCAAUUGCAAUGAUCUCAUCGCAAGAAACUGGAUUGAAAUAAGUAACGAGGAAGAAAAAUGCAAGGAGAAGACCGAAAUGACUUUCCACUAGCGAAGUUUCAACAAAGUUUUGAGAUAUUCAACACUAUCAACAAAACUUAACAUCAUUCCAAAUCACCCAUUCAUUUCCCCAAACACAUUUCUACAGCCAAACUCAUUUCUACAAUCUAUUACUUAACUGAUAUCUCAUUUAUCUGUUGCCACCAUUCAAGCAUCUGCAAUCUCUGCAGAGUCUGCGGCUGCUAGGACAAACUCUGGGCGGAGGGUGUAUGUUCCAUCCAGCGCAUUAGGCAGUCCCAGUGUCUUCAACGCAAGGUGAGCCGCCUUCUGCCCUGAUAUCAUCAUGGCUCCAAAAGUUGGUCCCAUUCUUGGAGCGCCAUCAAUCUCUGCGACUUCCAUGCCGGUAACAAUCAUUCCAGGCACAAUCUCUCUAGUAAGCCUAACAAUGGCAUCUUCAGCAGUAUUCAUAUCCAGAGCUUUCAUUCCUGGGACAUUCUCAAUCAAGCCAAUGCUCUUCAGCCUUUUAACUCCAGUGGCACCAAAGGGUCCAUCAUGGCCACAAGAGCUCACGACCACCUUGGCCUCCAUCACAUUAGGGUCCAUGCAAGACUGUGUGUCAUGGUUCAUCGACACAAGAGCCCAGUUGGUGACCACGCCACCCACUCUUCCAUUCUUCACUAUCAGGUCCUCAGCAGCCACUGCGUUGAAAAGCUUAACAUUAGGGCGCGCCAGGAGCUUGCUCAUAAUUGUGGAUGUGAACAGGGCAGCGUGCUUGAUUACUACAUAGUUGUCUGCUUCAUCGUACUCGAUGCCUAGCUCAUCAAGGAAGAGAUGAGCAGGUUUGCGCACCACCAUGGCAGAGAAGAGCUGGCCACCUAGCCAAGCACCACCACCAGGGCUAACAGAUUGCUCAACAAUGGCAACUUUAACAGACGGGUUUUUGCUAAGCUCAUAAGCACAAGAAAGGCCAGCAGAGCCAGCACCCACAAUCACCACAUCAGUAUCUGCAUGAGUAACCAUGUCCGUCAUGUACCUGCGAGUCAUCUCACGUGCUACUAUGGAUUCCUUGAUGGGGUCAAAUUUAAAAGCACUCAGAUUAUAAGGCAGCGGUGUGGAAGCUGACAUAGAAACAGAAAAGCCAGCGUUCGAUUUUGUAGGUUGCAUGCGAAUGGAGGGAGCAGCCACAGCCACCGGAGUGCCACAGAAGGCAGAGGAAUCAAAGAGAGAGUGCUUCUGGGGUUUGGCAGAGACAGAAGUGAGAGCAGUAGCCAUGGUAGCCAUGAUCGGCACCGAAACAACACUGAAUUAUGUGGGAAGGGUGGAUGGUCUUGCUGAGGAAGCAGAUAUGGGAAGGAGCGUAG